rnacentral:tRNA from 1 species
GUUCGUGUGGCCUAAUGGAUAAGGUGCUCGCCUCCGGAGCGGGAGAUUGUGGAUUCGGGUCCCACCGUGAACA